rfam:Salmo salar isolate Sally breed double haploid chromosome ssa27, whole genome shotgun sequence.
GCAUUAAACAUGUAUAAGACGCUCUGGAUAAGAGCGUCUGCUAAAUGACUAAAA